AAUAAGUGCAGUUUUGCACUAUUCAUGUUCAACGUUUGACCGUCCGUCUUAUUUGAAAAAUUUAUGAAAAAAUUAAAAACAUUUAGUCACACAUAAAGUACUAUUCAUGUUUUAUCAUCUAAUAGCAAUAAAAAUACUAAUCAUAAAAAAAUUUUAAAUAAGACGGACGGUCAAACGUUGAACGUGAAUAGUGCAAAACUGCACUUAUU
rnacentral:pre_miRNA from 1 species